rnacentral:piRNA from 1 species
AGUAGUUCUUGCCUGAUGGAG